GUUUAUUUUAUUUGCAAAGCGUUUAUUUUAUUUGCAGCGGCGUUUCUUUUUAUUUGCAGCGUUUCUUUAAUUUUCAGCAAUGAUCUCAGCUGUAUUAUUAUGUAAACAUACUUUUCUCAUCCCAUCAUUUUGUGACAUAAUGUGAACUCAGAGUAGGCAAAAAAAAAAAAAAGCAACGCUGUGAAGUGACGGGUCGACGCAGGGUACCAGACCAGCAUCUCUCUCAGACAUCAGUUCCAGUCGAGCAUCGCGACUUCAGUGCCAGCCUUUCUAACUUGCCUGCAGGGGUUCUUACACUUUACUAAAGAUGUGAAACAAUGAGCCGCAGCUACAGCUCCUACUUUAUACAUGUAUUUUGUGAUAACGACGGCCGUAAACGCCGCAAGGAGGUUUUUCUAUUCAACGUUCAGAGCCGGGAGUCGCCCGAGGUCGCGUUUCCCGCCUCACGUUUUUAAAAGAGUUCACCUUUUCACGUCUUCUCCGCAGCAUUCGCAUCUGCCGAGUUUACGCCGUAUUUUCUACGAGUCAGACUUGCCUUUUACUGCCGCAGCAUUCAUGUCCAGAGUUGAAUGUUUACAUCGUUAUGUAAAUAAACAGAAAUAUUACGAUCAA